rnacentral:rRNA from 1 species
AAUAUUGGMCAAUGGGUGUGAUCCUGAKCCAGCCAUGCCGCGUGCAGGAAGACGGCCUUUUGGGUUGUAAACUGCUUUUGCCAGGGGAUUAAAUGUCCCUGCGGGGAAAAUUGAAGGUMCCUGGAGAAUAAGCCACGGCUAACUACGUGCCAGCAGCCGCGGUAAUACGGAGGUGGCGAGCGUUGUCCGGAUUUAUUGGGUUUAAAGGGUGCGUGGGUUGUGUUGUAAGUCAGUGGUGAAAUCCGGCAGUCUUAACCGUGGAUGUGCCAUUGAUACUGCAGCAUCUGAG